rnacentral:rRNA from 1 species
AACGCGAAGAACCUUACCUGGACUUGACAUGCUGUUCGAUACAUUCAGAGAUGAGAGUAGACCCGCAAGGGAGAACAGACACAGGUGCUGCAUGGCUGUCGUCAGCUCGUGUUGUGAAAUGUUGGGUUAAGUCCCGCAACGAGCGCAACCCCUGUGCUUGGUUGCCAUCAUUAAGUUGGGCACUCCAAGCAGACUGCCGUCGUCAAGACGGAGGAAGGUGGGGAUGACGUCAAGUCCUCAUGGCCUUUAUGUCCAGGGCGACACACGUGAUACAAUGGUCGGUACAGAGGGUAGCCAAGUGGUGACACGGAGCCAAUCCCAAAAAGCCGAUCUCAGUUCGGAUUGGAGUCUGCAACUCGACUCCAUGAAGUUGGAAUCGCUAGUAAUCGCGGAUCAGCACGCCGCGGUGAAUACGUUCCCGGGCCUUGUACACACCGUACGUC